rnacentral:lncRNA from 1 species
AUGGGCGCCCGCCCACCGGAGGAGCGACUGGAGUUGAUCGGCUGGGCGCUCAGGUAGCGAAGAUAAAUGUAAUCUUGUGGCAGGAAAUCGACAUUCUCUGCACUAUCUUUAGUUUUCCAACUGAACUUCUGAGAAAUGGAGGCUACAAUACCUAGUUUGCCAAACAGGAGAAGACUACAAUUCCCAGAAGGAACUGCGACCAACAUUGGUCCGUGCUCAUACUUUGCAUCAUGGGACUUGUAGUCAUCACCAGCUUGCGCUGAUUCUAACAGAACCUGGACAACUACCCUCAAUUGGUAACAUAUUUUGGUGAGCCAGCCAGAAGGAUCAAGUCUGUGAUACCUGAAGCCUCAGACCUGGAACCUGAAGUUUCCUUCAGCCACUACACCUGUGAACCUGUGGAAGACCUGAAGUGCCUGUUUAGAAGACAGCCAAAAGAUAACCAAUAUCAUACUGAAUGGGCAAAAACUGAAGCAUUCCCUUUGAAAACUGGCACAAGACAAGGAUGCUCUCUCUCACCACUCCUAUUCAACAUAGUGUUGGAAAUUCUGGCCAGGGCAAUCAGAAAUUACAAUUUGGGGACAGGAGGAGAGAUACAGGUGGGAAGUCACAGGAACUAAAGUCAAACUAAAGGAAAAUCUGUGGCGAGAAGGUCCAUGAAGUUCUACUGCUAAGGUCCCUGAAGUUGAUCUGGUUCCUCCCGCUUCUGGACUUUUCCUUGGACUCCAUGAGAUAAUCUAAUGUUCUUUCAAUAGUUUCACUCUUGUUGCCCAGGCUGGAGUGCAAUGGUGUGAUUUCAGCUUACUGAAACCUCCACCUCCUAGGUUCAAGAGAUUCUCCUGCCUCAGCUUCCCGAGUAGCUGGAAUUACAGCUUCAGAUCCAAAUGGUAUGCUAGCAUUCUCUUCCUAGCAGUCCACUGUCAAGACUUCACUGUUAGAAGAAGAAUCACACCAGAAUUAAGGUCAAAUGGAUUAUCUUAUUCUUAAUUGCUGAAAAUCACACCUCAUUGAAAUUUGCUUCAUAACUGAACCAUGAAUUUUUCAUCAAACAUACUUUUGUGUUUCUCCUCCUGGCAUUCUUUAUGAGGAACUUCUUUUUGGAGCUCACUGACUUCCUGUUCUAAUUUGGUCCAGUUAUUUUCUAGAAUUGCUACAUGACUGUCAUCCUGGGACAUCCUUCUGUUGGAAUCUGGGAGAGCUUACAACUUUUCAUAUCCUCUCUUCUUCUUUGUGUUUUUCACCCUGAAGUGUACAAAGUCAAAUGAAUUUCCUAGAAAAACUAGUGAGUUAAUAUUUUGAGUCCUUGUGAUAUGGGAGGGGGGCAGGGAAGUGCUGGGUAGAGAAGGGUGGGGUCCCUGGUGAGGGCUCCACUCUCAGGCCUGUGCUCAUGGACCUAAAUGAGGACAGGCAUUUCUGUUUUCAUGCCCCAAAUGUUGCCUUUUGGCCCACCAUGCGCCCCAUCCUGUACCCAUAAAAACCCAAGACUUGAGAAGGCACAGACACAAGUGGCGGGACGUCAAGAGAGCUGAAGAACACAGCAACAGACACCAGCAGACAACAUCAGGCCAUCGAUGGCUGCAUGAUGUGGAAUUUGGCUGGGGGCAGUUGGAGGAGAGUCUGGCUAUUGGGCGACCUGACUCCAGGGGAAGACUACCUUCCCACUCCAUCCCCCUUGGGGCUCCUCAUGCAUCUCACGAGAGCUACCUCCACCACUCAAUAAAACCUUGCACGCAUCCUCCAA